UACGUAGGAUCCGAGCGUUAUCCGGAUUUAUUGGGUUUAAAGGGUGCGUAGGCGGGCUAAUAAGUCAGUGGUGAAAGUUUGCAGCUUAACUGUAAAAUUGCCAUUGAAACUGUUAGUCUUGAGUACAGUAGAGGUAGGCGGAAUGUGUAGUGUAGCGGUGAAAUGCAUAGAUAUUACACAGAACACCAAUUGCGUAGGCAGCUUACUGGAGUGUCACUGACGCUGAGGCACGAUAGCGUGGGGAUCAAACAGG
rnacentral:rRNA from 1 species